AAGGUGAGCAAACCCGGAGAACUGAAACAUCUAAGUACCCGGAGGAAGAGAAAACAACAGUGAUUCCGUAAGUAGUGGCGAGCGAACACGGAUAAGCCCAAACCGUUAUUGUUACGGCAAUAGCGGGGUUAUAGGACAUUCUUUUAGUUAGUUACCGGAAGAAGAACAUGAUUGGAAAAUCAGACCAGAGAGGGUGAUAGUCCCGUACUUGCAAAGGUAAUUAAUGUGAGUGUAUCCUGAGUAAGCCGGGGUUGGAGAAGCCCCGGUUGAAUUGGCCGGCACCAUCCGGUAAGGCUAAAUACGACCAAGAGACCGAUAGUGAAUCAGUACCGUGAGGGAAAGGUGAAAAGAACCGUGCGUAACGGAGUGAAAAGAACCUGAAACCAUGCGCUUACAAGCGGUCGGAGCCCUUUGGUGGGGUGACGGCGUGCCUUUUGCAUAAUGAGCCUACGAGUUACUCUUACUGGCAAGGUUAAAUGUGUUAACACAUGCAGCCGAAGCGAAAGCGAGUCUGAACAGGGCGCUUAGUCAGUAGGAGUAGACGCGAAACUUUGUGAUCUACCCAUGAGCAGGUUGAAGGUACCGUAACAGGUAGUGGAGGACCGAACCAGUAAACGUUGAAAAGUUUUUGGAUGACUUGUGGGUAGGGGUGAAAGGCCAAUCAAACUGAGAAAUAGCUCGUACUCCCCGAAAUGCCUUUAGGGGCAGCCUCUUGUGAUGUUAUACCGAGGUAGAGCGACGGAUAGAACUAGGGGGAGUCACAUCCUACCAAAUUCUGCCCAACUCCGAAUGCGGUGUAAUUAACAAGGGAGUGAGGGCUGGGGUGCUAAGGUCCCAGUCCGAGAGGGAAAGAACCCAGAUCAUCCGCUAAGGUCCCUAAAUCAGGACUAAGUUGAACAAAGGAAGUCUAUCUGCAUUGACAGCCAGGAUGUUUGCUUGGAAGCAGCAAUUCAUUUAAAGAGUGCGUAACAGCUCACUGGUCGAGCGGAUGGGGCAUCGAUAAUAAACGGGCAUCAAGUUUUGUACCGAAGCGAUGAAUGUGAUCCUGAGAAGGACCACGUGGUAGGGGAGCAUUCUUCCGGCGCAGAAGCUGUGAUGUAAGUCAUGGUGGAGCUUGAAGAAAAGCAAAUGUAGGCAUAAGUAACGAUAAAGCAGGCGAGAAACCUGCUCACCGUAAGACUAAGGUUUCCUGAUCAACGUUAAUCGGAUCAGGGUUAGUCGGGGCCUAAGGGGUUAGCGAAGGCGACUCCCUGAUGGACAACUGGUUAAUAUUCCAGUACUUAGUAAAUGAGCCAUCAAGUGACGGAGGGGCGCGUUAGCUGCGGACAGACGGAAUUGUCCGUUAAAGUGAGUGAAAGCUCAUGAUAGUACACUACGUCUUCGGACCCGGUGAUAAUGCUAAGAAGCCACUUCCAAGAAAAGCUUGGGAAGCAAUUGUUUACUGACCCGUACCGUAAACCGACACAGGUAGUCGGGUAGAAUAUACUCAGGUGCUCGAGUGAGUCACGGCUAAGGAACUCGGCAAAUUAACCCUGUAACUUCGGGAAAAGGGGAACCACAGCAAUGUGGUCGCAGAGAAAUGGCCCAGGCGACUGUUUAACAAAAACACAGGGCUUUGCCAAAACGAAAGUUGACGUAUAAGGCCUGACACCUGCCCGGUGCUGGAAGGUUAAGAGGGGAUGUUAGUCGCAAGGCAACGCAUUGAAUCGAAGCCCCAGUAAACGGCGGCCGUAACUAUAACGGUCCUAAGGUAGCGAAAUUCCUUGUCGGGUAAGUUCCGACCUGCACGAAUGGUGUAACGAUCUGGGCACUGUCUCGGCCGUGAGCUCGGUGAAAUUGUAGUAGCGGUGAAGAUGCCGCUUACCCGCAACGGGACGGAAAGACCCCGUGCACCUUUACUAUAGCUUAACGUGGGUGCUGGGUCAAGCAUGUGUAGGAUAGGUGGGAGACUGCGAACCGGUGUCGCCAGGCAUCGGGGAGUCAACGUUGAAAUACCACCCUUGCUUGAUUUAGCGCCUAAUCC
rnacentral:rRNA from 1 species